GAUUAUUUGGUCAGGUACCUGAAGUGCACUUUGGGGGAAGAGAUGGCUCAGGAACAGGAGUGGCUAUAGUGGUUUAUGAGCGGUAGCUCACAAGGUGUGCCCAGCAGAGAGACACACAGAGAGAGUGAUAAAACUGACUGCGAAUUCCGCUCCGUUCCCCUUCGGAUGGCUGAAGCCUAUUGGACGUUCACACCGAGACGCAAACAGUGGGGAUAACGUUCUGGUUUAAGCUACACAGACCGAAUAAAGCCUGAGGGGGAAACCGCUGGAGACGAAGUUGGGAGUCUGCGCCAGUGGCGGGAUAACAUAGGUGAAGAUGACUGGAGAGAAGCUGCUGAAGGAUCUAGACAAGAACUACACAGCGUAGGAGGCAUGAAAUAUGAGACCAAUGUAGCCCUGAACAGCUCUCUGUACCAUUAGUUCAUACUAGUAGGACUUUCAUUAAACCGUGUUAAAAAUGGGCGUUCUUUUUAGAAGCAAAACCAAACUCUUGUGAGCAGUUUUCCAAACACACAUGUUUCUGUGAUGACAAUGAAAUUACAAUCCACAUUUUUGUUAGCACUUUUCUAACAGAGAGAUCGGUGUGUGUGUGCUGCAUUUGAUUAGGAAGUAUAAUACCUACCAAUGUAUAAUAUCUACCAAUGUGUUUCUUCCAUUUUGAUUAAAUAAAACCUUUCUUUCCUUAAUUAGUUAAUGUUUGUUACUUGAGAAAGAGAAGUGACGGAAAUUCAGAUUAAUACAUGAUAAUUAAUAAAUAA